AUACGGAGGGGGUUAGCGUUGUUCGGAAUUACUGGGCGUAAAGCGCACGUAGGCGGAUUGGAAAGUUGGGGGUGAAAUCCCAGGGCUCAACCCUGGAACUGCCUCCAAAACUAACAGUCUAGAGUUCGAGAGAGGUGAGUGGAAUUCCAAGUGUAGAGGUGAAAUUCGUAGAUAUUUGGAGGAACACCAGUGGCGAAGGCGGCUCACUGGCUCGAUACUGACGCUGAGGUGCGAAAGCGUGGGGAGCAAACAGGAUUAGAAACCCCGGUAGUCC
rnacentral:rRNA from 1 species